UACUGGCUAGAGACCUUUCGAGUUUACCCAACAGAUGGCGCAGCGGCGCUCGAACGUAAACUCGACUUUACGAAGAAUCCACGAGUUUUUUUCGCCCGCCGAAGACAAAACAAAACCGAGUCAACCGUAGCAAUCAUCGCGAGGAGUAGAAACCAGUAGGGCGGUAUACAUGUAAGUCACAGACAACGAGGCACGAGCGUGUAAAAUAAAUGGCCCGUGUUUUACAAAUUAUUGUUAUCGAGGAACGUUUCUUACCGUACGGCAACAAAAUUAUUGCCUCUACGUCUCUUUUGAGGUUCUCGUGAUUUCGCAUUUACCGACAGUGCAAGAAUGUCGGAUCGGGCUUCCUGGAAGAAUUACAUUGGAAGCAGAACCGUGACUCUUUUAACCUAACCUCGAAUAACCUAACCCGUCAUAUUUUACGAGUUAAUACCAAUGGAAGAAACGUCACGCAUUUGCAUUUCUACGAAUUGGACGCUACGACGAACUGCUACAGCAAGGGAAUAACGUGCGUGAAAUCGCUGCAGAAAAUGCAAAUGGAUGAAAUUCAUUGGAUAACAGGAAUUGGAUUGCAAGCAUUGCUAACCUGUGCGAAUAGUUAUGUGCCUGUGCAAUGAGCAUGCGCAAUAUAGAAAAAUUGGCAGAGAAAGCUCUAACUCGUCACUGGGGAGGAUCCUAAUCGAAUUCCUUGGUCCGCAGGGAGUGAUAACACAAAAUACAAAGUGUGAAUCAACCGUUACUAUGCAUACGAAAUUAUGUACAGUCAGGUAUGGAGGAUACAUUUUAAAAAAGAUGGCGUCUCGUCGGUCAGUGGGAAAUAAAAAUUACUGACAGAUCUGCAUAUAUAUAUAUAUAUAUAUACAUAUAUGCAUUAUACCGUAUAGUAUAACUCGAGAUCAGUGGGAUGGUUCUGGUCCAGUAGGACGAACAUUCAGGUGGGACUACGCAGACCUGCAGGAUACACUAAAGUUAUCUACUCUAUAAGGUAUAGUCAGCUAUAGCAGUCAGUCGAGGUUGUUCGAGCGUUCAAAAGGGUUAGAUUUCACAGGCUGAUCCAAGGUGGGACGAGCUGAACUGCGAACAGUGCGAACACUGCGGGAGGACGAUUCGCUUGGUUGAGCUAUACUGGAGUUCAAAGAUUGAGGAUUUAGAUAGACUCGCUGUGCUGGAUGAGCUGGCGAGGGAGACGAUGCGUAAUGGGUCUAACCUAAAAAUCGCAAGAGAAUCCAUAAGGCCGCUAAGGGUUAGUUUGUAACGAGAGUUUUGGACAAUCGACUAAAGGUUUGCAUGGCGACGACUAGAUUGAACUUCAUACGGGUCUCUACCAUGGACAAAGCCACGUGGCGCUGAAUGAAAAGCGUUAACAUAAGAAUAAACCGGGCCCACCCUGUAUAUUUAACACCUUCAUUCUUUUUGACAUCCGGAAACCGACGCGCCACUCCCAGAAGUACCCAGUCGAAUUUCCCAUGCGAAUUCGAAGGUUCCUUUGGAAAUAAAAAAACAGUGUGAAUAUCGGUACCAGUUGAUUUUUCAAUGCAUCGAAAUCCUAAAUUCAUUGAAUCGAAUGGACGUGAGUCUUCGUGGUGCAUUGAUUCCAAGACCGUUCACCAGGUGCGACGAUAAAGAGAAAAAUUCAUGAGUAUGUCUUCAUG